rnacentral:lncRNA from 1 species
AAUUUUGUGACGCAUGGAAAAGCUUGCAACAAUUGGAUUGCUGUUGAUGUUCCUGUUAUUAUACAUCAUUCUAAGUAAUUGCUUUUAUUGUUUUUGAAACUCCUUCUCCUAUGCCUAAGGGAGAAGUGAACAUUGUUGGCAUUUUCAAAUUUGAUCAUUAAUAAAAUUCCAUUUUAUUCAUCCACAUAUAUGAUGUUUUAUUUUACUUUUUGC